rnacentral:lncRNA from 1 species
GCAACCACAGCUCUGUACCAGGAUGCAGUCUGAGUGAUACAGGAAGAACAAGAAAUGGAAAUCACAGUUCAGGGCGGAGACAACAGUUCUCUCCAGCUGAACCCGGGGCACUUGGCCGACAGCAAUUCAGUCCAUCGAGGCCGUAAACCCAAACUCCAACAGCCUCGCCCCUAUUCUAUCCCACCAUCACCUCCACUGACGCCCACUGCUGGGACCGCACCGAGCAAUGGGGACAGUUACCAGCUCUCUAGAAGCCAAGCCAUCCUAGGUAAGUCCUCUCCUAAUGCCAGGUCGGAAUUCAGAGGCUUAACGCCCAUGCCAUUUGACAAUGGCUCUUCUUCCCCAGGAUGGAGCUGCAGCAUCCUUGGAGGCCCCAGGGACCCUCGACCCAACUAUAGAGAAAACGCCUUUCUCAGCAGACCUCAUCUUGAACUGCCUUCAUCAGCACCGAACACAGAGAUGCUUCGUGCGUGCUGUUUGUUUUCUCCCACACAGCAUACUUAUUGAAACCAGCAUUUAUUCUUCUGAUGGGAUCCUGAUAGACAGAAGGGAACUGGGGAGACGAUGAAACAAGUCUGAGUAAGAAAAGCUGCAGGGCCGCCUGACGCGCUGACCAUACAUUCAUUCUCUGCAUGGUUUAUUCCAUAGACGGAGUCUGGAACAAAUCACGACAUUUAAUGCACAAUUAUGGUUUCCAAUAAAUUGUUCCCAGAUGGCUCA